AUGAACGCCGCCUUAAUGUGCUGCGUGGCGCGGCAAGCGCGUGAAGCAAGGGACAGGGUGGCGAUCGGUGUCCCGCUCACGGAGCCGUUGCGGAUGCGAGCAGAGGGCGAGGCCUGGGUGGCGAUCGGCGUCCCGCUCAUCGAGCCUCGUCCGCGGCGCAAGCCUAGCCCCUGGGAGACGCCUUUAAUAUGGUUUUUUGCGAUCACCGGUGGAAUUGUAUUUACCAUUAUGAUCGUCAUAAUGGAUGCGUCACUUGGUGCGAAAAUAGUUUCUAUAUGCUUAUUAUGGGCUUUUUUCAUGACUGGAGCACUCUGGAUUUUGUAUGAUCUCCGCCAUGCUCCAGAGGACAUAACAUAA
rnacentral:rRNA from 1 species